rnacentral:rRNA from 1 species
CCUACGGGAUGCAGCAGUGAGGAAUAUUGGUCAAUGGGCGCGAGCCUGAACCAGCCAAGUAGCGUGAAGGAUGACUGCCCUACGGGUUGUAAACUUCUUUUAUAAAGGAAUAAAGUGAGGCACGUGUGCCUUUUUGUAUGUACUUUAUGAAUAAGGAUCGGCUAACUCCGUGCCAGCAGCCGCGGUAAUACGGAGGAUCCGAGCGUUAUCCGGAUUUAUUGGGUUUAAAGGGAGCGUAGAUGGGUUGUUAAGUCAGUGGUAAAAAUGCGGUGCUCAACGCCGUACAGCCGUUGAAACUGGCAGUCUUGAGUGGGCGAGAAGUAUGCGGAAGGCGUGGUGUAGCGGUGAAAUGCAUAGAUAUCACGCAGAACUCCGAUUGCGAAGGCAGCAUACCGGCGCCCGACUGACGCUGAGGCACGAAAGCGUGGGUAUCGAACAGGAUUAGAUACCCCUGUAGUC